AAGUUUUAAGCCCUGUACUAUGUUCCAACUUCCAGGCAUGAAAUGAAUGUUUAACCAGAAAACAGCAAUGGAGAAAUUAGUGUAUAAAGAUGAUAAACCUGCACUUGAUAAAUAUACAUAGUGAAUGGAAGUUAUAAUUUAUUGUACAGUAUUUAGGGAGUCUAUAUUGAUUAGACAUUUUCUUUUAAAACCCUGUCUUUAAAUAAUGUUGUUUUGUUGUGCAGGUGAUUUAAACCUGGGGCUUUCAUAAAAAGAAAACCCUCGUGUAUGGUAAAGCGGAUUUUUUUUGGCUGGUUGCUAUAUUUUGACUAUUUUGGCACUGAAAACUGAUUUGGCAAAAUUGAAGUCCCUAAACUUAUAACUUAUUUACUUUAAUGUGUUUAACUCUUGGAAUUGUUAAAUUGCACAGACUUUUAAAUAACCUGCUAUACACCUAUGUGAUAUUGUUUGUUAGAUAUUGGUGAAGCAUAAGCAUUCAGUAUUUUGAUAUUGUUUAUUACAUGUAAAUCAAUCAAACGUAUCAAGACAAUUGUAAAGGAGAAGAUCUGGUACGAUGUGAAGUCUUAUUCCAUUGCAUGUACAGCUGUACCAGUGUUUCUUAAUCAUUUAGUGUAUGUGUGGUUGGUGCCAUUGAUUUUAUAUUGUUAAAGCCACAAAAGUUUUUCAGCUUUAUUUUAUUGUUUUAGAUGGUGCAAUAUGAAUAUGAAAGCAUUUUGUCACAAUUUAAAUAGAUUGAAAAGAAAUAAAUAUAUAUGUGUACU
rnacentral:misc_RNA from 1 species